UACAGAGGGUGCGAGCGUUAAUCGGAAUUACUGGGCGUAAAGGGCGCGUAGGUGGUUUGUUAAGUUAGAUGUGAAAUCCCUGGGCUUAACCUAGGAACUGCAUCUAAUACUGGCGAGCUAGAGUACUGUAGAGGGUAGUGGAAUUUCCGGUGUAGCGGUGAAAUGCGUAGAUAUCGGAAGGAACAUCAGUGGCGAAGGCGGCUACCUGGACAGAUACUGACACUGAGGCGCGAAAGCGUGGGGAUCAAACAGG
rnacentral:rRNA from 2 species